AGAGUUUGAUCAUGGCUCAGGAUAAACGCCGGCGGUGUGCCUAAUACAUGCAAGUCGUACGCACUGGCCCAACUGAUAGAUGGUGCUUGCAUCUGAUUGACGAUGGAUCACCAGUGAGUGGCGGACGGGUGAGUAACACGUAGGUAACCUGCCCCGGAGCGGGGGAUAACAUUUGGAAACAGAUGAUAAUACCGCAUAACAACAAAAGCCGCAUGGCUUUUGUUUGAAAGAUGGCUUUGGCUAUCACUCUGGGAUGGACCUGCGGUGCAUUAGCUAGUUGGUAAGGUAGAGGCUUACCAAGGCGAUGAUGCAUAGCCGAGUUGAGAGACUGAUCGGCCACAAUGGAACUGAGACACGGUCCAUACUCCUACGGGAGGCAGCAGUAGGGAAUCUUCCACAAUGGGCGCAAGCCUGAUGGAGCAACACCGCGUGAGUGAAGAAGGGUUUCGGCUCGUAAAGCUCUGUUGUUGGAGAAGAACGUGCGUGAGAGUAACUGUUCACGCAGUGACGGUAUCCAACCAGAAAGUCACGGCUAACUACGUGCCAGCAGCCGCGGUAAUACGUAGGUGGCAAGCGUUAUCCGGAUUUAUUGGGCGUAAAGCGAGCGCAGGCGGUUGCUUAGGUCUGAUGUGAAAGCCUUCGGCUUAACCGAAGAAGUGCAUCGGAAACCGGGCGACUUGAGUGCAGAGGAGGACAGUGGAACUCCAUGUGUAGC
rnacentral:rRNA from 1 species